rnacentral:rRNA from 1 species
GAUGAACGCUAGCGGCAGGCUUAACACAUGCAAGUCGAGGGGCAUCGCGGUGCAGCAAUGCACUGGCGGCGACCGGCGUACGGGUGCGUAACGCGUAUGCAACCUGCCCCGCACCGGGGGAUAGCCCGCCGAAAGGCGGAUUAAUACCCCAUGGUCCCGGGGGCCCGCAUGGGCAUCCGGGUAAAGCCUUGGCGGUGCGGGAUGGGCAUGCGUGCCAUUAGCUGGCUGGUGGGGUAACGGCCCACCAGGGCAACGAUGGCUAGGGGGUCUGAGAGGAUGGUCCCCCACACUGGUACUGAGACACGGACCAGACUCCUACGGGAGGCAGCAGUGAGGAAUAUUGGUCAAUGGGCGGAAGCCUGAACCAGCCAUGCCGCGUGCGGGAUGAAAGGCCCUACGGGUUGUAAACCGCUUUUCCCCGGGAAGAAUAACCCCGAUGAGUCGGGGGAUGCCGGUACCGGGGAAUAAGGAUCGGCUAACUCCGUG